rnacentral:rRNA from 1 species
GAUGAACGCUGGCGGCGUGCCUAAUACAUGCAAGUCGAGCGAACAGAUAAGGAGCUUGCUCCUUUGACGUUAGCGGCGGACGGGUGAGUAACACGUGGGUAACCUACCUAUAAGACUGUGAUAACUUCGGGCAACCGGAGCUAAUACCGGAUAACAUUUGGAACCGCAUGGUUCUAAAGUGAAAGAUGGUUUUGCUAUUACUUAUAGAUGGACCCGCGCCGUAUUAGCUAGUUGGUAAGGUAACGGCUUACCAAGGCGACGAUACGUAGCCGACCUGAGAGGGUGAUCGGCCACACUAGAACGGAGACACGGUCCAGACUCCUACGGGAGGCAGCAGUAGGGAAUCUUACGCAAUGGGCGAAAGCCUGACGGAGCAACGCCGCGUGAGUGAUGAAGGGUUUCGGUUCGUAAAACUCUGUUAUUAGGGAAGAACAAACGUGUAAGUAACUGUGCACGUAUUGACGGUACCUAAUCAGAAAGCCACGGCUAACUACGUG